rnacentral:rRNA from 1 species
GUCUGGCCUCCUCCGGUGGAGGCGCCUCGCCGCCGCAGCCACGCGCGCCGCCUCCACCCUGACCGCAGCCGAAUGCUCCCCUGCCAUCGCGGCGGUCCCGCCACCGCACCGGCUCCUCCAGGAUCGGCGCAAGUGGGAGGGCCCCUCGUCCUCCUCCGGGGGCGGCUCCUCCUCGUCCUCCUCUAACGACGAGCCGGAGCCGCGGCGUAUCCGCGCGGAGGCCCACUGCCCGCGCUGCUCCAAGCACAUGGACAUCCUCUUCUCCCACCGCGCCCAUCCCCCUUCAGCCCCCGCCGCUGUCGGCGGCUAUCAGACGCUCAACCUCUGUCCCAACUGCCGCACCGCCUACUUCUUCCACCCCAACCACCUCGCGCCACUUCAGGGCACCUUCGUCGAGAUCGGCCGCGUCCGGGCUGACCUGCCCCCGGACGGCGUCAGGGUCAGGGACCCCUCCUCCUGGGAAGCCAUCCGUGCGAGCUCGUCUUCGCGCGACGAUGGGGAUGGUAGUGGCGUGGCCGUGCAUGUGCCGCCCGGGCCACCGUUCCACCCUAGCCUUAACGUCGUCCGCGUAGCCGGAGGCGGUGGCGGGGGAGGAGCUGCUGGCGGUGGGGGCGAGGAGGGAGGAGGGGGAAAGGACGGAUGGGGCGGGUCGAACCUUGGGAAGGAUUUUCCGACACCUAAGGAGAUUUCCAAGGGGCUCGAUAAGUAUGUGAUUGGGCAAGACCGAGCCAAGAAGGUGCUAUCUGUUGCAGUGUACAACCACUAUAAACGUAUAUACCAUCAGUCUCUACAGAAAGGGUCUGGAGCAGAUUUGGGUUGUUCUGAUGGAGAAGCUGAUGGUGAAGACAAUGUUGAACUAGAGAAAAGCAAUAUACUGUUAAUGGGCCCUACUGGUUCAGGUAAAACUUUGCUUGCAAAGACAUUAGCUCGGUUUGUGAAUGUGCCAUUUGUAAUUGCUGAUGCAACAACAUUGACCCAGGCAAGGUAUGUAGGAGAAGAUGUAGAAUCUAUAUUGUACAAGUUACUUACGGUGGCAGAUUUUAAUGUGCAAGCAGCACAACAAGGGAUGGUGUACAUUGAUGAAGUUGAUAAGAUCACUAAGAAGGCUGAGAGCCUUAACAUCAGUAGAGAUGUAUCAGGCGAAGGUGUUCAGCAGGCUUUGUUGAAAAUGCUCGAAGGCACGAUAGUCAAUGUCCCUGAGAAAGGAGCAAGGAAGCAUCCUCGUGGCGAUAAUAUACAGAUAGAUACGAAGGAUAUUCUGUUUAUAUGUGGGGGUGCUUUUAUUGACUUGGAGAAAACUAUAUCAGAGAGGCGGCAGGAUUCUUCUAUUGGAUUUGGGGCACCUGUCCGUGCAAGCAUGAGGACUAGUGGUAUUUCAAGUGCUCAAGUGACAUCGUCCUUGUUAGAAUCAGUUGAGAGCAGUGAUCUUAUAGCAUAUGGACUCAUUCCGGAGUUCAUUGGACGUUUUCCUAUCCUUGUCAGCUUGGCAGCACUAAAUGAGGACCAACUUGUUCAGGUUCUCACCGAGCCAAAGAAUGCUCUAGGUAAACAAUUCAAGAAGUUGUUCAGCAUGAAUAAUGUUAAGCUUCACUUCACGGAUGCUGCACUAAGAAUAAUUGCCCAGAAGGCAAUGUGCAAAAAUACAGGUGCACGGGGCUUAAGGACUAUCCUUGAGAAUAUUCUCAUGGAUUCCAUGUAUGAGAUUCCAGAUACAAAAUCUGGAGAGAAGCGAAUUGACGCAGUGGUUGUAGAUGAAGGUGCAGUAGGAUUGGUGGACCGACCUGGCUGUGGAGCUAAGAUCCUUUACGGCGAUGGUGCAUUUGAUCGUUAUCUAUCCCAGAUAAAGGCAAUGGGAGACGGAGCAGGAAGCGAAGUGGAUGGGGAUCCUGACCUUUCUUCGUCAAGAGCCAUGAGCAUGUGAUUUCAUGGUUCCUCUAGCUCUACUGUACACUGUAAAAAUCUGAUCCUAGCUGUAUUAAUGUAAAGAAAAAAAAACACAUGUGCAGUACCCAUUGCUAAUUCAAACCCCAGCUGUCUGGCCGUCCUCACGCCUUGCAUAAUCUGUAGCAGGACUGGGAAGUGUAUAGUGGAGCAAGUUGGGUGUCGACGUGUGUGUGAAGGUGAGAGACUUUUUAUGUGAAGAACUGUAAUGCUUGCCAGAUGUUGUAAAACUUCAAACACUGAGAUGAAGGGGUUGAAAUUUAGCAUGGAGAUACGAAAUUAUGUUAUCAGCUCCUUGCCCGAAUUGUGCUGUGUGGUGUACCAGCCUUGCUUGGUAGAAAGACGAAAGAGAUCCGAAUGCUUUAGGGACUUGGGAGUUUCUGCUGCAGUGCUCAAUGCACUCUCGUGGUCUAGAAAAAUACUACCUCUGUCCCAUAAUAUAAGACGUUCUUUGCAGUUUGAAACUGCAAAAAUGUCUUAUAUUUUGGGAAACAUUGUUGUAUGUCUGUACGUUUUCUGUGAAUAAAAAGAAUUUCUAAGGGCG